UACGUAGGGGGCAAGCGUUGUCCGGAUUCAUUGGGCGUAAAGAGCGUGUAGGCGGCCAGGUAGGUCGGUUGUGAAAACUGGAGGCUCAACCUUCAGAGGUCGACCGAAACCAUCUGGCUAGAGUCCGGGAGAGGAGAGUGGAAUUCCUGGUGUAGCGGUGAAAUGCGUAGAUAUCUGGAGGAAUACCGGUGGCGAAGGCGGCAUCCUGGACCGGCAUUGACGCUGAGGCGCGAAAGCCAGGGGAGCAAACGGG
rnacentral:rRNA from 1 species